UAUGUCCUGAUAAGUGGGCAUUUUUGCAGACAGAAAAACAAAUAAGGAGAGACAUUAACAUUAUCUUUCUGUUGCAUAUGUGUCUGAAUGUUCAGGGGAGCCUGGUCUUGUGCUUCUCUGUGAGACCAAUAACCCAGGAGGCCCCUCCCCUUCUUGGCCCCCUCCCCUAACAUUGGAUGGAUUGACUUCAAAGCAUCCUUUCAAACAUCCAGCUUUUCCAUUUGUCCCUCCAAGAGCCACUUCAUCUAAAUCUUGUUAUCACCUUGGGCUGCAUUUUUCCCUCCUAGGUCUCCAGGGGCUGAAGCUGAUUGGGACUGACAACCCCUGAUUAGGCUGAGAAUUCCACAGGCUGGUCUGUAGAUGGCUCUGCCAAAGAGACCCUCCUACUGUUCCACACAGUGCUCUGGGUUCUUAGGGAACAGCAUGGAAUGCUUUAGCCCCAUUUUGAAUUCUAGACCAACUAACAAAAUAAACAGGCCUGCUGGGAGCCAGAAGGUGUGGGACCCUGACAACUGAAUUAAAAUUUAUUGUUACCCCAAAUCUUUCCUAAAAUGAGUUUCUGUAAAUCAUCGUGCCUCAGAGAAGCCUGACCCUGCUUGUCUGGAGCCUCGAAACUGGUGUGAAAUCACAGUAUCCUGGAACUAUUUGAACAAAGAGAAGAGAGCCUAGUGCGGAUAGCACCUCUUAUUUUUUAGGAGAAAGUAGGAGACUGGAUUCUUUCCGGCUCGGAUGAAUUCCUGUGUGUGCCACAUCGUUUGCUGGAAAUGUGCCUGGGGUACCACUGAGCGAGGAAUGUGCAUCUAACGACUGCUAACAGAAAUGGAGCUGCCUGGGAGGGGGCGUUUGGGACUUCCCAGCUCUUGGAGACGCAGAGAUAAAACAAUGGAAAACAUGAACAUACAUCUCAGAGAAGGAAAAGAUGUGGAUGGGAAAUGGUCAUCGGUGGUCAGAGGGGUACCCAAACUGCCAAGAAUCUUCAUCAAUACAAGUAAGGAUAAGAUAGAAGAGAGCAGGCAUUCAAGCCCUGACUGGUGCCAAGGAGAAGCCAAUUUACAUUUGAGCCAUACUAUGCUGCAGGACUUCCCUGAAAGAGACUAUUGGCUAAAUGACAGCUCCUGCAGCAGUCUUAGAGUAAGGAUUAAAAUAAAAGUGAUAGUAUUUCUGCAGCACAGUCUAUGUAACUCGUCUGUGACCUCCUCUGCAGUGCUGUUUGGAGGUACAGAACUAUGUCUCUCUGGGUCUUGGAUGGGAUAUCUGAAUUUAAAUCUGUCCUCAAUCUGUCGGGUUCAGGAGUGGUAGUCUUGUGAAGAUGAAUUAUGUAAACAAGUUACAGUAAUGGAAUUCUUAUUUAUAAAC
rnacentral:lncRNA from 1 species